rnacentral:rRNA from 1 species
UCAAGCAAUAAGGGCACAGGGCGGAUGCCUUGGCACUAAGAGCCGAUGAAAGACGUGAUAAGCUGCGAUAAGCUUCGGGGAGGAGCAAAUAUCCAUUGAUCCGGAGAUGUCUGAAUGGGGAAACCCACAUGAGCAAACCUCAUGUAUCCAUACGCCAAUCCAUAACGUAUGGAAGGGAACCCGGGGAACUGAAACAUCUAAGUACCCGGAGGAAAAGAAAGAAACAUCGAUUCCGUAAGUAGCGGCGAGCGAACGCGGAGGAGCCUAAACCGGUGUGCGUGCAUGCCGGGGUCAUGGACUGCAUUUAAGAUUCAGCGAAGUUAACAGAACGGUUUUGGGAAAGCCGGCCGGAGAGGGUGAAAGCCCCGUACGUGAAAGCAGAGCUGACUGAGCAGGAUCCGGAGUACCACGAGACACGAGGAACCUUGUGGGAAGUAAGGGGGACCACCCCCUAAGGCUAAAUACUACUUAGUGACCGAUAGCGCAUAGUACUGUGAAGGAAAGGUGAAAAGGACCCCGGGAGGGGAGUGAAAGAGAACCUGAAACCCUGUGUUUACAAGCUGUGGAAGUUCUUUAAAUGAACAACCGCGUACUUUUUGUAGAACGGUCCGGCGAGUUGCGGAUACUGGCAAGGUUAAGCACUUAAGGUGCGGAGCCGAAGGGAUACCAAGUCUUAACAGGGCGUUAAGUCAGUAUACGCAGACCCGAAACCGGGUGAUCUAUCCAUGUCCAGGUUGAAGUUGUCGUAAAAGACAAUGGAGGACCGAAGCCACAUCCGUUGAAAAGGGUGGGCAUGAGGUGUGGAUAGGGGAGAAAUUCCAAUCGAACCCGGAGAUAGCUGGUUCUCCUCGAAAUAGCUUUAGGGCUAGCCUCGAUUUAGUCUUAUGGAGGUAGAGCACUGAAUUUCCGCGGGGGCGUCAAAGCUUACCAAAGAAUAUCAAACUCCGAAUGCCAUGUAGAUGAUGAAUGGGAGUCAGACUGCACGAGAUAAGUUGGGUGGUCAAAAGGGAAAGAGCCCAGACCUACAGCUAAGGUCCCAAAGUGCGUGUUAAGUGGAAAAGGAUGUGGGAUUUCAAAGACAACCAGGAUGUUGGCUCAGAAGCAGCCAUACAUUCAAAGAGUGCGUAACAGCUCACUGGUCGAGAGGUCCUGCGCCGAAAAUGUCCGGGGCUGAAACACGACACCGAAGCUUAGGAAUCACAUAGUGAUUGGUAGAGGAGCAUUCUUAAGACCGACGAAGCUGUACCGGAAGGAGCAGUGGAGGGAUAAGAAGAGAGAAUGCCGGAAUGAGUAGCGAGAGGAAGGUGGGAAUCCUUCCGGCCGAAUAUCUAAGGUUUCCAGAGUAAAGCUGAUCUGCUCUGGGUAAGUCGGGGCCUAAGGAGAGGUCGAAAGACGUAUCCGAUGGACAACAGGUUUAGAUUCCUGUACCACAUAUAAACAGAACUGUGGGGACGCAUGUGGAAAGCAUAAGCCGGGAAUGGAAAUACCGGUACAAGCGGAAGAGGUGUCAGGCUGGCAAAUCCGCCUGAUAAGCCAAAGACGUGAUGUGUAGCGAAAUAAAAGUAGCGAAGUGUGUGAGCCAUGUGCCGAGAAAAGCCGCUAUUGUUUUAUAUGUGCCCGUACCGUAAACCGACACAGGUGGAUGAGGAGAGAAUCCUAAGGCCGACGGAAGAAGCAUUGUUAAGGAACUCGGCAAAAUGACCCCGUAACUUCGGGAGAAGGGGUGCCCACUUCAGGGUGGGCCGCAGAGAAUAGGCUCAAGCAACUGUUUAGCAAAAACACAGGUCUAUGCGAAACCGUAAGGUGAAGUAUAUGGGCUGACGCCUGCCCGGUGCUGGAAGGUUAAGAGGAGAGGUUAGUCGCAAGAUGAAGCUUUGAAUUUAAGCCCCAGUAAACGGCGGCCGUAACUAUAACGGUCCUAAGGUAGCGAAAUUCCUUGUCGGGU